UAAAAAUUUAGAAACUUGGUUCCUCAUUCUUUAUUCAAGGCAUCAUUGUUUUGGGUGCUUGUAGAUAAAGUGAGGAACAAUUCUUACCUUUAACUUUAAGAGUGACUGACUCUUUCACUUUGCGCACUUGAAAGGUAAUGGUCCCUCCAUCCUGAGGUGCCAAGUUCUUCAGUCUGAGCUUGUGCACCUUUCCCUCAUGAGUGAUGGUGUUAACUUCAUUAGUGAAGAGCACCCUGUCAUUCAGAAGCCACUUUACCUCUUCAUCUGCAUAAUUAAUCUCACAUGCGAACAAUGCGUCACAGUCUUCAUCAACCUCCGUGUCAGUCAAAUGCUUGGAGAUCUUAAUUUCACGCACUAGACAGAAGAUUCAAGAAAAUUAUUUUAGUUUGAAGAUUACUUUAUUCCAAAAUCAUUGUAAAACAGAUGUGAUAUUUCAAUGGGCCAAUGAACAACUGUAAUUUUUCCAUGAUAUUUAUAGGUGCAUGCUGUACCUUCAACAGUAAGAGUCCCUUUGGUCUCAGCAGGUCCAGACUGACAACAGUAUUCCCCGUUGUCUUCCUCAGUCAAUUUCUGAAUGGUGAUGCAGAGAACUUGCAAUUUACAGGAUGUUUUGUCAUCAGUGGCAUCACAGGUAUAUGUGUCUUCAUCCCCCGAGUCCACAUCAUUGAUGGUGAGUUUCCGGUACACAUCCUCACUUUUGAUCUCAUACUUGUUGUUGGGUUUGAGCUCCUUCUUAUUCUUGUACCACUUUACCUUUGCACUGGCACGUGAGACUUGGCAUUCAAGAUGGCCACGAUGCUUAUACAUCGCAAUCUUAUCCCUGAGUCUCUUCACAAACUUGACAGGCAAUUCUACAGUAACAAUAACACUGAAUU
rnacentral:lncRNA from 1 species